rnacentral:rRNA from 1 species
AAACCAACUGGGAUUACCUUAGUAACGGCGAGUGAAGCGGUAAAAGCUCAAAUUUGAAAUCUGGUACUUUCAGUGCCCGAGUUGUAAUUUGUAGAAUUUGUCUUUGAUUAGGUCCUUGUCUAUGUUCCUUGGAACAGGACGUCAUAGAGGGUGAGAAUCCCGUUUGGCGAGGAUACCUUUUCUUUGUAAGACUUUUUCGAAGAGUCGAGUUGUUUGGGAAUGCAGCUCAAAGUGGGUGGUAAAUUCCAUCUAAAGCUAAAUAUUGGCGAGAGACCGAUAGCGAACAAGUACAGUGAUGGAAAGAUGAAAAGAACUUUGAAAAGAGAGUGAAAAAGUACGUGAAAUUGUUGAAAGGGAAGGGCAUUUGAUCAGACAUGGUGUUUUUGCAUGCACUCGCCUCUCGUGGGCUUGGGCCUCUCAAAAAAUUUCACUGGGCCAACAUCAAUUUUGGCAGCAGGAUAAAUCAUUAAGAAUGUAGCUACUUCGGUAGUGUUAUAGCUUUUUUGGAAUACUGUUAGCCGGGAUUGAGGUA